rnacentral:rRNA from 1 species
GGUUAAGCGACUAAGCGUACACGGUGGAUGCCCUGGCAGUCAGAGGCGAUGAAGGACGUGCUAAUCUGCGAAAAGCGCCGGCGAGGUGAUAUGAACCUUUGACCCGGCGAUGUCCGAAUGGGGAAACCCAGUGUGUUCCGACACACUAUCGUUAACUGAAUACAUAGGUUAACGAGGCGAACCGGGGGAACUGAAACAUCUAAGUACCCCGAGGAAAAGAAAUCAACCGAGAUUCCCCCAGUAGCGGCGAGCGAACGGGGAGCAGCCCAGAGUCUGAAUCAGCUUGUGUGUUAGUGGAAGCGUCUGGAAAGUCGCACGGUACAGGGUGACAGUCCCGUACACGAAAAUGCACAGGUUGUGAACUCGAAGAGUAGGGCGGGACACGUGGUAUCCUGUCUGAAUAUGGGGGGACCAUCCUCCAAGGCUAAAUACUCCUGACUGACCGAUAGUGAACCAGUACCGUGAGGGAAAGGCGAAAAGAACCCCGGCGAGGGGAGUGAAAAAGAACCUGAAACCGUGUACGUACAAGCAGUGGGAGCCUCUUUUAUGGGGUGACUGCGUACCUUUUGUAUAAUGGGUCAGCGACUUAUAUUCUGUAGCAAGGUUAACCGUAUAGGGGAGCCGAAGGGAAACCGAGUCUUAACUGGGCGUUAAGUUGCAGGGUAUAGACCCGAAACCCGGUGAUCUAGCCAUGGGCAGGUUGAAGGUUGGGUAACACUAACUGGAGGACCGAACCGACUAAUGUUGAAAAAUUAGCGGAUGACUUGUGGCUGGGGGUGAAAGGCCAAUCAAACCGGGAGAUAGCUGGUUCUCCCCGAAAGCUAUUUAGGUAGCGCCUCGUGAACUCAUCUUCGGGGGUAGAGCACUGUUUCGGCUAGGGGGCCAUCCCGGCUUACCAACCCGAUGCAAACUACGAAUACCGAAGAAUGUUAUCACGGGAGACACACGGCGGGUGCUAACGUCCGUCGUGAAGAGGGAAACAACCCAGACCGCCAGCUAAGGUCCCAAAGUCAUGGUUAAGUGGGAAACGAUGUGGGAAGGCACAGACAGCCAGGAUGUUGGCUUAGAAGCAGCCAUCAUUUAAAGAAAGCGUAAUAGCUCACUGGUCGAGUCGGCCUGCGCGGAAGAUGUAACGGGGCUAAACCAUGCACCGAAGCUGCGGCAGCGACGCUUAUGCGUUGUUGGGUAGGGGAGCGUUCUGUAAGCCGUUGAAGGUGUCCUGUGAGGGGUGCUGGAGGUAUCAGAAGUGCGAAUGCUGACAUAAGUAACGAUAAAGCGGGUGAAAAGCCCGCUCGCCGGAAGACCAAGGGUUCCUGUCCAACGUUAAUCGGGGCAGGGUGAGUCGACCCCUAAGGCGAGGCCGAAAGGCGUAGUCGAUGGGAAACAGGUUAAUAUUCCUGUACUUGGUGUUACUGCGAAGGGGGGACGGAGAAGGCUAUGUUAGCCGGGCGACGGUUGUCCCGGUUUAAGCAUGUAGGCGGAGGUUCCAGGUAAAUCCGGUUCCUUGUUAACGCUGAGGUGUGAUGACGAGGCACUACGGUGCUGAAGUAACAAAUGCCCUGCUUCCAGGAAAAGCCUCUAAGCAUCAGGUAACAUCAAAUCGUACCCCAAACCGACACAGGUGGUCAGGUAGAGAAUACCAAGGCGCUUGAGAGAACUCGGGUGAAGGAACUAGGCAAAAUGGUGCCGUAACUUCGGGAGAAGGCACGCUGAUAUGUAGGUGAAGCCCCUGCGGGUGGAGCUGAAAUCAGUCGAAGAUACCAGCUGGCUGCAACUGUUUAUUAAAAACACAGCACUGUGCAAACACGAAAGUGGACGUAUACGGUGUGACGCCUGCCCGGUGCCGGAAGGUUAAUUGAUGGGGUUAGCGGCAACGCGAAGCUCUUGAUCGAAGCCCCGGUAAACGGCGGCCGUAACUAUAACGGUCCUAAGGUAGCGAAAUUCCUUGUCGGGUAAGUUCCGACCUGCACGAAUGGCGUAAUGAUGGCCAGGCUGUCUCCACCCGAGACUCAGUGAAAUUGAACUCGCUGUGAAGAUGCAGUGUACCCGCGGCAAGACGGAAAGACCCCGUGAACCUUUACUAUAGCUUGACACUGAACACUGGUCCUUGAUGUGUAGGAUAGGUGGGAGGCUUUGAAGCGUGGACGCCAGUCUGCGUGGAGCCAACCUUGAAAUACCACCCUUUAAUGGCUGGUGUUCUAACGUAGACCCGUGAUCCGGGUUGCGGACAGUGUCUGGUGGGUAGUUUGACUGGGGCGGUCUCCUCCCAAAGAGUAACGGAGGAGCACGAAGGUUAGCUAAUCCUGGUCGGACAUCAGGAGGUUAGUGCAAUGGCAUAAGCUAGCUUGACUGCGAGAGUGACGGCUCGAGCAGGUGCGAAAGCAGGUCAUAGUGAUCCGGUGGUUCUGAAUGGAAGGGCCAUCGCUCAACGGAUAAAAGGUACUCCGGGGAUAACAGGCUGAUACCGCCCAAGAGUUCAUAUCGACGGCGGUGUUUGGCACCUCGAUGUCGGCUCAUCACAUCCUGGGGCUGAAGUAGGUCCCAAGGGUAUGGCUGUUCGCCAUUUAAAGUGGUACGCGAGCUGGGUUUAGAACGUCGUGAGACAGUUCGGUCCCUAUCUGCCGUGGGCGCUGGAGAAUUGAGGGGGGCUGCUCCUAGUACGAGAGGACCGGAGUGGACGCAUCACUGGUGUUCGGGUUGUCAUGCCAAUGGCACUGCCCGGUAGCUAAAUGCGGAAGAGAUAAGUGCUGAAAGCAUCUAAGCACGAAACUUGCCCCGAGAUGAGUUCUCCCUGAGACUUUAAGUCUCCUGAAGGAACGUUGAAGACUACGACGUUGAUAGGUCGGGUGUGUAAGCGCAGCGAUGCGUUGAGCUAACCGAUACUAAUGAACCGUGAGGCUUAACCUU